rnacentral:rRNA from 1 species
UCGAGAAUUUUUCUCAAUGGGGGAAACCCUGAAGGAGCGACGCCGCGUGGAGGAUGAAGGUCUUCGGGUUGUAAACUCCUGUCAUUUGAGAACAAAUUGGACGCAGUAACUACGCGUCCAUUGAUAGUAUCAGAAGAGGAAGAGACGGCUAACUCUGUGCCAGCAGCCGCGGUAAUACAGAGGUCUCAAGCGUUGUUCGGAUUCAUUGGGCGUAAAGGGUGCGUAGGUGGCGCCGUAAGUGGGGUGUGAAAUUUCGGAGCUUAACUCCGAAACUGCAUUCCAUACUGCGGUGCUUGAGGACUGGAGAGGAGACUGGAAUUCAUGGUGUAGCAGUGAAAUGCGUAGAGAUCAUGAGGAAGACCAGUGGCGAAGGCGGGUCUCUGGACAGUUCCUGACACUGAGGCACGAAGGCCAGGGGAGCAAACGG